rnacentral:rRNA from 1 species
GACGAACGCUGGCGGCGUGCUUAACACAUGCAAGUCGAACGAAGUGGCGAACGGGUGAGUAUUACGUGGGUAACCUGCCCUCCUUUUUUGGAUAAGCCUUGGAAACGGUGUCUACUACCGACUUAAGGGGGAUGGGCUCGCGGCCUUUCUGCUUGGUGGUGGGGUUCUGGCCUACCAAGGCGGUGACGGGUAGCCAGGCUGAGAGGGCGACCGGGCACAGUGGGACUGGGAUACGGCCCAGAGUACGACGGGGGGGAGCAGUGGGCGAUAUUGCACAAUGGGCGAAAGCCUGAUGCAGCGAGGCCGCGUGGGGGAUUAAGGCUUUCGGGUUGUAAAAGUGUGUCGGUAUCGAACGGGUAGGUGGAGAAGAAGCGCCGGCUAACUACGUGCCAGCAGCCGCGGUAAUAC